AACCCCUAUUGUUAGUUGCCAUCAUUCAGUUGGGCACUCUAGCGAGACUGCCGGUAAUAAACCGGAGGAAGGUGGGAUGACGUCAAAUCAUCAUGCCCCUUAUGACCUGGGCUACACACGUGCUACAAUGGGUCGGUACAACGAGUUGCGAGUCGGUGACGGCGAGCUAAUCUCUUAAAGCCAAUCUCAGUUCGGAUUGUAGGCUGCAACUUGCCUACAUGAAGUCGGAAUCGCUAGUAAUCGCGGAUCAGCACGCCGCGGUGAAUACGUUCCCGGGCCUU
rnacentral:rRNA from 1 species